AUAUGGAAGUCAACCUUAACGUCUUUGCCGUUGAAUUUGUGUGUGCUGUGUGACCGUAUGUGUGAACAACCGCGAAGUUAUCGAUUGAUCAUUGCACACAGUUUUCCGAAAUAGCGAAGUGGGAAGGCGUUUCAGUACAUCUGUGUUUCGCUAGUGGAGUUUCGUGCCGCAUAUCUGCAACUUGAAAGCUCAAAGUUGUUUCUCGAUUCUGUUAUUUACACGUUCGUCAUGAGCGCCAUCGGUGGUAAUGAUGAAAUGGUAACGAGUAGACUGAAAGCCUUAACAGAUAAGCUUGAAGAAAUGGAUGCAAAUUUAUUGAGAGUUAAGAGGGAAUAUAAAGAAUUUCUGGAACUUAACAGGACUGUUUGCAGUUAUAUUCAAGCCUCCAUCAGAAGUGUCAGCUACGAUGAAGACAAUCCUGACACACGAAACACUGGGAGUCAGCUACGAUGAAGAAAAUCCUGACACACGAAACGCUGGAAGUUAAUAAA